UAUCUUUUUUUUUACCUAUUAAUAUUACCUUUUUUUUUGAAGCAUUCUCUCCCUCCCUCUCUUCUCUAUUGCUUUUUGCUGCUCGGAGCCUUUUUUUUCUCCGGCAAUUGCCGGCGACGACGACCAUUUCCCGCCGAUAAAGGCUACAGUGAAUGAGUGUUGCUACUUGAUUGAGCCCAUGCCUGCUACACCUAUGAAGAAGAGUGCUACCCGUGGUGGGAUUGGGAAUGUAUUCAACAAAUUAACAAGCAAAAUUGGAGAUCCCGUUGACUUUGAACUUCCAGAUUGGUUGAGUAAAUGGCAACCCACUCCCUAUCCCUAUACCUCUAUAAGGCGAAAUAUAUACCUCACCAAUAAGGGUAAGCGGCGGCUAGAAGAUGAUGGCAUAUCUUGUACCUGCAGUUCAACGGCAGAAUCUUCGGACGUGUGUGGCAUGGAUUGCCUUUGUAGCAUGCUAUGGUCUAGCUGCACCUCGGGAUGUAAAUGUGGGAGUUCUUGUCUGAAUAAGCCAUUCCAUCAACGUCCUGUGAAGAAGAUGAAAAUAGUGAAGACUGAGAAAUGUGGCACUGGGAUUGUGGCAGAUGAAGAUAUCAAGACAAAAGAGUUUGUUGUAGAGUAUGUUGGAGAAGUUAUUGAUGACAAGACAUGUGAAGAGCGACUUUGGAAAUUGAAGCACAGUGGGGAAACAAAUUUUUACUUGUGUGAGAUCAAUAGGGAUAUGGUGAUUGAUGCCACUUAUAAGGGAAACAAAUCCAGAUACAUUAAUCAUAGCUGUUGUCCAAAUACUGAGAUGCAGAGAUGGAUGAUUGAUGGUGAGAAUAGAAUUGGCAUAUUUGCAACGCGUGACAUUAAAAGGGGCGAGCAUCUGACCUACGAUUAUCAGUUUGUUCAAUUUGGUGCAGAUCAAGAUUGUCACUGUGGUGCUAUAAAUUGCAAGCGAAAGCUGGGAAUCAGACCUAACAAACUAAAACUUCCUUCUUCAGAUGCUGCUGCACUAAAGCUAGUGGCAUGCCAGGUAGCUGCGCCCUUUCCCAAAGAGAAAGUACUGCUAUCGGCAAAACAUAAAAACACACAACAAUUUCAAACUCUAUGUGGACUAGAGCUUAAAGAAAGGCAACACGAGGAUCAUGAGUAAUAUAUGUGAAGCUGAAACAGACCUACUUUUUCUGAGGAUUCUCAAACUGAAGUUCCCCCAAAAGGAAAUUGGAGUUCUGACUCUGCUCGGAAAAUCCAGCAUCCUCGGAAUUGCACAGGUCAAAUUAUAAGAAUAAUUCGCUAUUCUGACCAGAGUCCUGUUGAUUCACUGGAGUCACGAAUACCUGAUGUUUCCAGUUCCUUUGGAAUCAUAAAACAGUUUGACAGAAUCACCAAAAAACAUUUGAUCAUGUUUGAAGACGGUAGUACUGAGCACCUUGACUUGUCAAAAGAAGAUUGGCGAUUUUGUAACUUUGCUUAAUCGGGUCUUAAACUGUCGAAAUAAAGAUAUACAUGAUUCAACCUCAGUAGCUGAUACGCGAUAUAUUCUUAACAGUCCAAAAUUGCAAAGUAUCCUCUGCCUUUGCUCCUGCUGUACCAAAUGUGCAAAGUUUCAUUUUAACAUAUUCUUUCGAGUUUUCGGGUGAUAAUGUCAGUUCACUCUUCCUUAUACUGGAGAGGGAAGUUCUGAUGAUUCUUUCUGAUGCAUUAGCACAACAAAUGUAACAAUAGUUCACCUUGUUCCAAUUAUAUCGGAUGUCCCCUGAGAAACGAGUUGACUCUAUGAAUCAUAAUUUAUUUACUAGUCGUAAAGAAGGGAUUUGUUAGCUCUCGAUUUUCUUGUGUAGUGAGGAUUCAAAUAGUCGAUCCCAACUUGCUUUGGGAUUGUGGUGUAGUCCUUGUUGUGUUCUUAUUCAAAUGCACUCUUUUGGCCUCCAAAAGAAUAUUUGGUUUCACAAUUUCUUUUAACUUGCAAAGUUAUAUA